ensembl:lncRNA
AAUCUAGCUCCACUUAUUACUGGCAUGGCCUGGAGAAAGAUCCAAGUCUCAGUUUCCUUCUCUGGAAAAUAGGCAUUAAUAACAGCACCUUAUCUUGUGGAACCGUUGUAAAGACUAGAUGAGGUAAUACAUGUAAGGCCCUCAGCACAGUGUCUUACAGAGGAAGCAGUCAAAGAUAUUUUCUAUAGUUAACAUCCUAUUUUUAAAGUACAACUUGAAAAUGGUUGAGUGUUCAUCUCUGUAUAGAAAACAAAUUUAAGGUGAGAUUUUGCAGUUCUUAGGUUUCAUUGGAUUUUUAAGAAGUAUUUUCUCGUAACUCUCAGUCCUAGUUUUAAUUUCUCGGAAACAAGUCGGGGGGGGGGCUGCUGGGAAAAAGCGUCUGCGGAAGUGGCAUUUACCUUCUCUGUAUUUUCUUGGAGAAUGUGUGAGAACCGCAUAGAGUUUGAGACUAGUUGAGUCUGUUUCUCAUCUUCCAGGUAUUUUCAAGGUCUUUGCAAAUACAUUUCUAUUAAUUCCAAAGUAAUAAAUUAGUGGAAACUAAAGCAGAAAGGUCUUGCAAUUUCGCUCUGGUCAUUCAGAGAAUUCAUGCCAGGGAGGAUCCCAGGAAAAAGCCUGCCCCUUGCCCGAGGCAAGUUACAGUUUGUGCCAGGUAAAUGGUAAAGAGCUUCCUCCACAGAUGCUUGUGAUCGGGAUUAACAAUGUGUAUGCUGGUAUUUUUUGCCUUCUUUUACAAAAGCUGUGUUAACGCCUUGCAGUUGGGCCUCCAGUCCAGUUAGUUGCCUUAAUGUAUCUUGCAAAUGCUUGUUGCCUUCUUCCCGUGUAGCUGGCCAGAGCUACAGCAAUGCCGUGGGGAAGGGCAUGGACCAACCCCCAAGAAGCCACCAGGCCAGUUAACUCUAAGGGUCAGCAGUGACCAUCCAAGCCCCAUAAGGUCUCUUUAUAGCAGUUCUAGACAAACUUAGCUUCUUGAAAAUUCUCUUUUGCCUUCAUCACUCUGGAGGCCUCUGGUUUUUCUCUAACUGUCUGAGGGUUGCUUUGGGACCCUUUUAGUCCCCUAUGGAGGCAGCGCCAAGAGUCGGCCAUCUUUUUUUCUAUCUUUUUAUUCCUCCACUGAUAACCUAUUCUUUGCUUUAGCAUCAUAAAUCAUCAUUUUUUAUGACUCUAAAAUCUCAAUUUUUACCCCUAAUUUUUUUCUAGGCCUCAAAUCUACAAUUUCUACAUCUCUCUUCUUGUUUCACAAUCCUUGAACAUGUCCUGGAUUAACUCAUUUCCACACUCCUAAUUUCCUUAGGCUAUUUACUGGGACCUUUUCUGCCCUCAGUUCAGUUGCUGUUCUCCUAAUCACCCAGGCUUAAUCGUUGUUAACUAUCACUGUUUUUAUUCUGGUGAGUGAAGAAUAAGUUCAGAGAUUCCUAUGGCAGUGGGCAGUUAUUUUCAUCUUCUUUUCCAGGCUGGGUUUUCUCCUGAACAUUUGACAUUCUCUUUGUUUUUCUGAAGUGUGGACAGUGGGGUGGGAGAGUGUGCGCUGUUUCAGGGUUGCUGGAUGAUACAGCUCCAGGGCUGCAUUCAGAUAAAGGGCCGUGUCUCGGAGUUUCCACUGUGGCUCCGCUGGUUUAGGACCCGACAUUGUCUCUGUGAGAAUGUGGGUUCGAUCCUUGGCCUGGCUCAGUGCGUUAAAGAUCCAGUGUUGCUGUUGUUGUGGCUGUGGCGUAGGCCUGCAGCUGCAGCUCUGAUUCGACCCCUAGCUGGGAGCUUCCAUAUGGUGCAGGUGGGGCUGUAAAAAAGAAAAAACAGGUGGUAUCCCCAUUGCAUCAUUUGUGAAUGACACUCUGCAUUGUGUGGCAGAGCUCUGUGGAGUGUUAGGGUGGGGGGAUGGGGGAGGUGGCAGGGCUUCUAGAUGGAAGGGAUGCUGAACACUGCAGAGAAAGGGUAAAGAGGAAUUGGCCACUCAGUCCGGAGGAAAGCUUCGUUUCCUCAAAAGAGGGAAGGAUGGGGAAAUAGUUUUUCUCUUUGCCAUCUACCUAGGGGAAUGAACCUUUCUGUUUUUCUUUACAAAUCUGUAUUGAGUCAACUUUACCCAAGAGCCACCCACCAAACUUGUGGCUUAGAGCUCGGUUUGCUCUAAUUCUUGUUAUUUUUGGUCAGGGGCUGUUGGCAACAGCCUUGAAAGUGAAAGUUCCUUGUUCCUGUAGCUGUGCUGUAAAUUGGGAUAAUCAUACAUUCUCUUGUCACAACUGGACUCCUUUAGAUAGGGUUUCUGUAAGGUCCAAAAAGGCUGGUAAUACUCUGGUCACACUGCUGCCCCCUGUACUGAGACAGCCCAGAUGAUGGGGGCCCCUGACCAGCAGCAGGACACUUGGCUGGUGCCUGUAGCAGUGGAGUCCUGUGUUUGGGGACCCUUGGAGCAUUUGCCCAGGCAGGUUGCUGCCUUCAGCUGCACGGUUUGUACAGUACAGACUUCGCAGAUGCUGCUUACAUAGGUGACCAUGGGAGUGGGGUCCCAAAGUCGUCCAACAUGGUGUCCUGCUUCCAAUACCUUCUAUUCUCUCCCUCGGGUACCUUUUCCAGGCCAGCUAAUGCCUCACAUUCUGCUGGCCAGGCCAUUUCCUGUCUCAGGCUGAGGCUCACACCACUACUUCCUUUUUUCCCCUAAAUUUCUAAGAUCCUCCUUUUUCCUCCACUUUCACUUCCUAAGUGCCAUAACCACAGGGAUGAAAUCAGCAAGUUCAUGCCUUAUUUUUUUACCAGGCUAACUCCUACUCACCCUUUAUUAGUGGAAAUAAUGAUGAUUAAUAGAUAACAUUAAUGGAACACUUGGUAUUCACGUGCCGAAAGUUUUACAUGCAGCAUCUUUUUUUCAUCCUUACAGAAAUCUCUGAAACAA